GGAGGAGUGGCCGAGCGGUCAAAGGCAGCAGACUGUAAAUCUGCCCACUAGCGUGUACGUAGGUUCAAAUCCUACCUCCUCCACGU
rnacentral:tRNA from 2 species